rnacentral:rRNA from 7 species
UUUAUGGAGAGUUUGAUCCUGGCUCAGGAUGAACGCUGGCGGCGUGCCUAAUACAUGCAAGUCGAGCGAACGGACGAGAAGCUUGCUUCUCUGAUGUUAGCGGCGGACGGGUGAGUAACACGUGGAUAACCUACCUAUAAGACUGGGAUAACUUCGGGAAACCGUAGCUAAUACCGGAUAAUAUUUUGAACCGCAUGGUUCAAAAGUGAAAGACGGUCUUGCUGUCACUUAUAGAUGGAUCCGCGCUGCAUUAGCUAGUUGGUAAGGUAACGGCUUACCAAGGCAACGAUGCAUAGCCGACCUGAGAGGGUGAUCGGCCACACUGGAACUGAGACACGGUCCAGACUCCUACGGGAGGCAGCAGUAGGGAAUCUUCCGCAAUGGGCGAAAGCCUGACGGAGCAACGCCGCGUGAGUGAUGAAGGUCUUCGGAUCGUAAAACUCUGUUAUUAGGGAAGAACAUAUGUGUAAGUAACUGUGCACAUCUUGACGGUACCUAAUCAGAAAGCCACGGCUAACUACGUGCCAGCAGCCGCGGUAAUACGUAGGUGGCAAGCGUUAUCCGGAAUUAUUGGGCGUAAAGCGCGCGUAGGCGGUUUUUUAAGUCUGAUGUGAAAGCCCACGGCUCAACCGUGGAGGGUCAUUGGAAACUGGAAAACUUGAGUGCAGAAGAGGAAAGUGGAAUUCCAUGUGUAGCGGUGAAAUGCGCAGAGAUAUGGAGGAACACCAGUGGCGAAGGCGACUUUCUGGUCUGUAACUGACGCUGAUGUGCGAAAGCGUGGGGAUCAAACAGGAUUAGAUACCCUGGUAGUCCACGCCGUAAACGAUGAGUGCUAAGUGUUAGGGGGUUUCCGCCCCUUAGUGCUGCAGCUAACGCAUUAAGCACUCCGCCUGGGGAGUACGACCGCAAGGUUGAAACUCAAAGGAAUUGACGGGGACCCGCACAAGCGGUGGAGCAUGUGGUUUAAUUCGAAGCAACGCGAAGAACCUUACCAAAUCUUGACAUCCUUUGACAACUCUAGAGAUAGAGCCUUCCCCUUCGGGGGACAAAGUGACAGGUGGUGCAUGGUUGUCGUCAGCUCGUGUCGUGAGAUGUUGGGUUAAGUCCCGCAACGAGCGCAACCCUUAAGCUUAGUUGCCAUCAUUAAGUUGGGCACUCUAAGUUGACUGCCGGUGACAAACCGGAGGAAGGUGGGGAUGACGUCAAAUCAUCAUGCCCCUUAUGAUUUGGGCUACACACGUGCUACAAUGGACAAUACAAAGGGCAGCGAAACCGCGAGGUCAAGCAAAUCCCAUAAAGUUGUUCUCAGUUCGGAUUGUAGUCUGCAACUCGACUACAUGAAGCUGGAAUCGCUAGUAAUCGUAGAUCAGCAUGCUACGGUGAAUACGUUCCCGGGUCUUGUACACACCGCCCGUCACACCACGAGAGUUUGUAACACCCGAAGCCGGUGGAGUAACCUUUUAGGAGCUAGCCGUCGAAGGUGGGACAAAUGAUUGGGGUGAAGUCGUAACAAGGUAGCCGUAUCGGAAGGUGCGGCUGGAUCACCUCCUUU